UCAAGUUAGCGCCAACAUGUAAUGGCAGCUCCUUGAUUGCAUGAAAUCAUCUGUGAUUUAUAAAAUGUCAAGUUAGCGCCAACAUGUAAUGGCAGCUCCUUGACUGUAUGAAAUCAAAUGUUAUCUAUAAAAUGUCAAGUUAGCGCCAACAUGUAAUGGCAGCUCCUUGACUGUAUGAAAUCAAAUGUUAUCUAUAAAAUGUCAAGUUAGCGCCAACAUGUAAUGGCAGCUCCUUGACUGUAUGAAAUCAAAUGUUAUCUAUAAAAUGUCAAGUUAGCGCCAACAUGUAAUGGCAGCUCCUUGACUGUAUGAAAUCAAAUGUUAUCUAUAAAAUGUCAAGUUAGCGCCAACAUGUAAUGGCAGCUCCUUGACUGUAUGAAAUGAAAUGUUAUCUAUAAAAUGUCAAGUUAGCGCCAACAUGUAAUGGCAGCUCCUUGAUUGUAUGAAAUCAUCUGUUAUCUAUAAAAUGUCAAGUUAGCGCCAACAUGUAAUGGCAGCUCCUUGAUUGUAUGAAAUCAAAUGUUAUCUAUAAAAUGUCAAGUUAGCGCCAACUUGUAAUGGCUGCUCCUUGUACCAAGAUCCAAACAUUGUAGUAGGUGGGUACAAAUACAAACCCUACAGAUGAUGGGAGGUAAAUUUGUUCGCGUCCGUGUAAUGGUAAUUAUUUAUAAGAGAUUCUUUCAUAUUACUUUGAAUGUUUUACAAUUGCACUUUUAAGAAAGUAAUUUAUAUUCUCAUUUCAAUAAUUAAAUAUCUUUACCACUACACACGUGCCUCCUGGGUAAUGCUAAAUGAACAAUUAAAUUGCCUGUGUAUAUAAAGUUGCAGGUAUAUUAUCAAGAAUACUGGUAAGAAUGAAAAACACAGCUACUGUCCAUCUUGUCAAUGUUUGAGGUGUUUGAGUUCAGAUGUGAGUAAUUUUGAUUCUACUAUGAACCAACAUUUAUCAAUAGUCCAGUCUUUUGAGAAACCUUCCAGAGGUCUGUGUGUUGUUUGUUAACAAGAGGAAAAUGCUUGUAAAAAUGGAAACAAAGAGGCAGAAGACAAAGACCAAACUUUUAAAAAUGUCAUAGAAGUGAUAGAAGAGCAGAAGAAAGCUUUAGUUGCUGCUAAAAAGUCUGUGUUAAAAGAUAAUUAUACUCGUGUAUCAACGUUAAGAACUACCAAUUUAAACGAAUUUGUCAAUAAAUGCUGAAUAUUGUUAGAUUUAUUAUUUAUUAAAUUUGAUAUUGUUUUACUA